AGCAUAUCAAUAAGCGGAGGAAAAGAAACCAACAGGGAUUGCCCUAGUAACGGCGAGUGAAGCGGCAACAGCUCAAAUUUGAAAUCUGGCUCUCGGGCCCGAGUUGUAAUUUGUAGAGGAUGCUUUUGAUGCGGUGCCUUCCGAGUUCCCUGGAACGGGACGCCAUAGAGGGUGAGAGCCCCGUCUGGUUGGAUACCAAAUCUCUGUAAAGCUCCUUCGACGAGUCGAGUAGUUUGGGAAUGCUGCUCUAAAUGGGAGGUAUAUGUCUUCUAAAGCUAAAUACUGGCCAGAGACCGAUAGCGCACAAGUAGAGUGAUCGAAAGAUGAAAAGCACUUUGAAAAGAGAGUUAAAAAGUACGUGAAAUUGUUGAAAGGGAAGCGUUUAUGACCAGACUUGGGCUUGGAUAAUCAUCUGNGGUUCUCCCCAGUGCACUUUUCCAGUCCAGGCCAGCAUCAGUUUUCGCCGGGGGAUAAAGGCUUCGGGAAUGUGGCUCCCUCCGGGGAGUGUUAUAGCCCGUUGCGUAAUACCCUGGCGGGGACUGAGGUUCGCGCAUCUGCAAGGAUGCUGGCGUAAUGGUCAUCAACGACCCGU
rnacentral:rRNA from 1 species